CACGCAGGCGGCAUCGCAAGUCAGUUGUGAAAUCCCUCGGCUUAACCGAGGAACUGCACCUGAAACUGCGAAGCUCGAGGACGGUAGGGGAGAGCGGAACUCCUGGUGGAGCGGUGAAAUGCGUAGAUAUCAGGAGGAACACCGGUGGCGAAGGCGGCUCUCUGGUCCGUUCCUGACGCUGAGGUGCGAAAGCCAGGGUAGCGAACG
rnacentral:rRNA from 1 species